ACUACAGUGUUACAAUGAUAUACUUUCAGAGCAAGUUAAAUCCUGAUACUACGGUGUUACAAUGAUAUACUUUCAGAGCAAAUUAAAUCCUGAUACUACGGUGUCACAAUGAUAUACUUUCAGAGCAAGUUAAAUCCUGAUACUACGGUGUUACAAUGAUAUACUUUCAGAGCAAGUUAAAUCCUGAUACUACGGUGUCACAAUGAUAUACUUUCAGAACAAGUUAAAUCCUGAUACUACGGUGUCACAAUGAUAUACUUUCAGAGCAAGUUAAAUCCUGAUACUACGGUGUCACAAUGAUAUACUUUCAGAGCAAGUUAAAUCCUGAUACUACAGUGUCAAAGUGAUUUACUUUCAGAGCAAGUUAAAUCUUGAUACUACAGUGUUACAAUGAUAUACUUUCAGAACAAGUUAAA